UACGUAGGGGGCGAGCGUUGUCCGGAAUCAUUGGGCGUAAAGCGCGUGUAGGCGGUCCGGUAAGUCCGCUGUGAAAGUCGGGGGCUCAACCCUCGGAUGCCGGUGGAUACUGUCGGGCUUGAGUACGGAAGAGGCGAGUGGAAUUCCUGGUGUAGCGGUGAAAUGCGCAGAUAUCAGGAGGAACACCAAUUGCGAAGGCAGCUCGCUGGGACGUUACUGACGCUGAGGAGCGAAAGCGUGGGGAGCAAACAGG
rnacentral:rRNA from 1 species